UACGAAGGGGGCGAGCGUUGUUCGGAUUUACUGGGCGUAAAGGGCGCGCAGGCGGUUCUGUUUGUCGAGUGUGAAAGCCCCGGGCUCAACCUGGGAACUGCGCUCGAAACGGCGGAACUAGAGUUCGGGAGAGGAGAGUGGAAUUCCCAGUGUAGAGGUGAAAUUCGUAGAUAUUGGGAAGAACACCGGUGGCGAAGGCGGCUCUCUGGACCGAUACUGACGCUGAGGUGCGAAAGCGUGGGGAGCAAACAGG
rnacentral:rRNA from 1 species